AUUGUUGGUAGUCCGUAAAUCAUCACGUUUAACUUCCAAUCCAAUCCAAGUGCUCACACCAUUGAACCAUCUCUGCCAGAAGGUAGAUUGUCCUGCUGUUUGCGGCGAAGGUCGACAGCUUCUUCAACUCCGGUACAGCUUGGAAGCGCGGUCACUAUGGCUCACAGGAGCCAACUGAGGAUUGCGAAAGACUCUGAGACGAACGACAGACCCAACGUAACAAUUUCUACACGACGACAAAUGCAAACGAUAACGAGGCAAAGGCCGGGAAUCGAAAACGGAUCGAAUGGGUCGGGGGAACGCGAUGGCCAGGAGUUUGAAGAAAUGGUGGUGGACUCGGGAGCUUCGCCGUUGCCAGUCAGACGGAACAGAAAGCGAAAGCAAGUUGCAAGCGACCGGAGCGAUUUGAAUUUGAGACGUUCCAAACGUCUACGCAAAUCGACUAGACAGGAAGAAUUUUGGUACCCAAGGCCAUUGGACAAGGACAAGUAAUGUUUAAAUAAGUGAACUAUUAUGGUGAUUAAUGUCACCUUCGAAUUAUAAGAUGUUUGAUGUUUUCUAUUAUUUUGAGUUUCAUGCUUUCGAGCAUAAUAUUAAGUAUAGAUCCUAAGUAAGAAAAAUGAAAUGAAUGAAGUUUAACUUGAAUGAAGUUCUCUGCUUUCCAAAGGGGAAGA